UAUGUCCUGCAUGUACAAACUUUUGUGCAAAAAUCUGCAGAGGAAAAUAGCAGAAAUUAGCAGAUCCUCUGGCCUAACACAGGUUUUUGCUCCUGUAAAGUAGAUAAAAGUUACUUAAGUCACACUUGGAAAGAGUGAAUGAAGAAUGGAACUCUUUCAGAAAACAUUAUGGACUAGAACUCCACAGUCCCACUUAGUGUUGAAGUCCAGUUGGGACAGUAGCGGUCAGAACUCUGAAUUGAUUGCAUCAGAGAAGAAACCCAUGAUAAUCUUAGCUUUCCAAAGGGAGAGAGAAACAUCAUUGUGAGAGCG